rnacentral:rRNA from 1 species
UGGGGAAUAUUGCACAAUGGGCGCAAGCCUGAUGCAGCCAUGCCGCGUGUGUGAAGAAGGCCUUCGGGUUGUAAAGCACUUUCAGCGAGGAGGAAGGUGGUGAGCUUAAUACGCUCAUCAAUUGACGUUACUCGCAGAAGAAGCACCGGCUAACUCCGUGCCAGCAGCCGCGGUAAUACGGAGGGUGCAAGCGUUAAUCGGAAUUACUGGGCGUAAAGCGCACGCAGGCGGUUUGUUAAGUCGGAUGUGAAAAUCCCCCGGGCUCAACCUGGGAACUGCAUUUGAAACUGGCAAGCUAGAGUCUCGUAGAGGGGGGCUAGAAUUCCAGGUGUAGCGGUGAAAUGCGUAGAGAUCUGGAGGAAUACCGGUGGCGAAGGCGGCCCCCCUGGACGAAGACUGACGCUCAGGUGCGAAAAGCGUGGGGCAGCAAACAGGAUUAGAUACCCUGGUAGUCCAGCGCUGUAAAACGAUGUCGAUUUGGAGGUUGUGCCCUUGAGGCGUGGCUUCCGGAGCUAACGCGUUAAAUCGACCGCCU